CCGUCCCCGCGCCUUCUCCUCUCACGCUGAUCUCUACCCUAACCGCACACAGCGGUUUCUCCUUCCCGAGUGUACAAAAUCGUGCCCGAUCACUUCUCGCUUCUUCUUCUUCCCCUUCCUCUCCGAUCGACGUCGGCCAAGCUUCUGUUUCCCCCAUCUUCGCCCGAAAACCCAAUCAUCGAAGUUCCUUGUUCCCUCUGCCCUAGCGCCAAGCCUCCUUCCCUCUCUUCGCGGACACCAGGAUAUCGCCUAAAACUGAGCCUCUCCGUCUUCCUAGGUUGCUGCCGCGCCACCACGGGCCUCACCGUGCCCUAGUUUUUCUUUGCGUCUUCUUCCCUGGGGGAUCGGUGACUCUUCCUUCAGCCGAUCUCUUCCCUUCAGCCGGGGUGCCCUCGCGACCUCAAGCUCCUCUGCGUGCCCUAGCUUCCAUAUCUGACGCCCUUCAGUUUUUCCUGCCGGUUCUUCCCGAUUAGUUGCUGCCUUAGUGGUGAUCUUGGAGGCAGUGGCAGCGUUGGUUUUGGACAGGAGCAAGGAAUCCAAGCCCUAGUCUCACCCUCUGUUAAAUCUCUAGCAAAGAGGAAGAACUUGGCAUCAUUGCAGGGUAUUAUUGGCUGUGGAUUCGAGCAUCACCAUUUGAGGGCGACUCACAAUUUUCGGCCACAAUUUCCAGCAGCUACCCUUCUCCAGCAGUCACUUGGCUGCGAGUUUGAGGUAAGAGACUUAAGUUAGAUAGAUUUAGAUUUGGAUUAUUAAUCUAAUGGGUUGAUUGGGAAUUAGGUAACAAACCCUAAUUAACCGUUGGAUUUAAUUCAGGUAGGUUGAGGUUUAUGGUUUAGAGUUUUUUCCUAAAUUGUUCUUAAGGAUUUUAUUUAGCUAUUCAUUUGAGUUGUAGCUAAAUAAAAAUGUAUAUAUAUUGGUGACACAAGACUUUGACGCGACGAUCAUCUCGACAUCGGAUUUGGACUGGAUUGGACCUUUCUAUUGGAGGUGGGUACUUUGACUUAUCUUUUUAGAUAUGUCAUUUGAUAUGCAUAGUAAUUUUUAACAAGUAAUAAUAAUUAUGUUUCUUAUCUGCAUCGGUUUGUCACUACCGAUACAUGUUACAUGCUUGUAUUGCUUACUUGUUAUGCAUUCCACGUUAGUGCCCACCUGAUUUUAUAUGCUUAUAGAGGUAGUGACAUAACCAUGCCUUAUUAUGU